UUAUCAUCCUCUAGUUAACUCAUUUACAUUGCGUCAGUUACCACCUAGCCGCUUCGUUCACCGUGGGACAAAAGGCAACGGAUCCGUAGACGGACAAACCCGACGUUUCACCGUUGCAGCGUCGUCGAGAUCGACGUGGUUCUUCACAAUUACUCACACGCUGUGUGCCGGUUGUCAACUUCUCGUUUGCGGAAAUUCUUUAUCCAAUUGACCGUUAGCAACAAGUUCCGCAAAAUGGAAAUCCGUUGGAGCUUUGUCGAAGUAUCGAAACGUUUGUAAUGUAUCGUUUAAACUGUUCAAGUACCCGUUUUUUUUUGAAUCCAGCAGAACACAAUACGGAGAUAAGCGCUAGAAUCGCUUACGCAAAACCGAUCUUUCGGAGUAUAAUUCAAAAGGGAAGAAGACGGUGAUGGAAAAAAAGGGCAACGCCACGGUCGGGUUUCGGAAAUAAUGAAAUCCUCUAGAUUGGAAGCCAUUAUUCGUUAUAAAUGGAAAACACCCUGUACAGCGGGGUGGUAAGGAGACCCUCUCAGCCGUCAUCGUCUUCACUCCUCUCCUCUCCUCGAGGCUGCGCAGCACCUCCUUUGCGGCCCCGAUGUAAUUUUCUGAAUGACUGCGUAAUUAAAACUCUAAUUUCCUGCACUUAA
rnacentral:lncRNA from 1 species